rnacentral:piRNA from 1 species
UCUGAGUCGAAAAAAAAGCGA